AACCCUUGAUUGUGCUUGGGAGGAGGAAGAAGAAGGAUGAAACUUGAAGAUGAAUCAAAGCCCUUGCAGCCUACUUCCUUUUCCCUGCGUUGGAAGGAGGAAGAGAGGAGGAGGAGGCCGCCAAUGGCUUCUUCUUUUCUUCCCUUUGCUUGCGGCUGAACCAAGGAGGAGGAGAGGGAGGCCACGGCUUGGAAGGGAGAGGAUUCAAUGAUACUAAGGCGCCGGCCCUUGCUCUCCUUUUAAAACCAUCUAGGGCUCCUACAAUUUAGGAGCCCUAGAGUUAUUUCCUAAGAGGGGGCGCCGGCCCCCUCUCUUCAUGCCGCACCAAGGAAGCAAAAGGGGAGGGGCUUGCGCCCCUCCCUCUUGGCAAACCCUAAUCCACAUUAAGUAGGGUUUGGAAUGCCCUAAUGUGGUCAAGCC
rnacentral:lncRNA from 1 species